CACCUUCCUACUAAUCUCAGCAACGUGA
rnacentral:sRNA from 1 species